ACUGUAGUGGCGCAGUGGUUAGCACUGCUGCUUAACAGUAAGAACGUCGUGGGUUUGAAUCCGGCCUGGUGUG